GACGAACGCUGGCGGCGUGCUUAACACAUGCAAGUCGAACGGUGAAGGGACUGGUUUUUGCUGGUUCUGGAUGAGUGGCGAACGGGUGAGUAACACGUGAGUAACCUGCCCCCUUCUUCUGGAUAACCGCAUGAAAGUGUGGCUAAUACGGGAUAUUCUGCGCCUGCUGCAUGGUGGGUGUGGGAAAGAUAUUGUUUCGGUGGGGGAUGGGCUCGCGGCCUAUCAGCUUGUUGGUGGGGUGAUGGCCUACCAAGGCGGUGACGGGUAGCCGGCCUGAGAGGGUGGACGGUCACACUGGGACUGAGACACGGCCCAGACUCCUACGGGAGGCAGCAGUGGGGAAUAUUGCACAAUGGGCGCAAGCCUGAUGCAGCGACGCCGCGUGAGGGAUGGAGGCCUUCGGGUUGUAAACCUCUUUCGCCAGUGAAGCAGGCCUGUCCCUUUUGUGGGUGGGUUGACGGUAGCUGGAUAAGAAGCGCCGGCUAACUACGUG
rnacentral:rRNA from 1 species